rnacentral:misc_RNA from 1 species
UGACGUCCAGAGGAUCAGCAUCGCUACUCCGUCCAGCAGCGCGUAAGACGGAGGAUGCAAGCGUAUCCGAAUGAUGGCGUAAACGUCGCAGGGGCAGUCAAGUCUGCUGUCAAAGACGGGGCUUACUUCGGAAGGCAGUGAACUGACAGCUAGAGUAUGGUAGGGCAAAGGGAAUCCCGGUGUAGCGGUGAAAUGCGUAGAGAUCGGAAGAAAUCGGUGCGAAAGCGCUUUGCUGGACCAUAACUGACACUCAGGACGAAAGCUAGGGAGCGAAUGGAUUAGAUACCCCAGUAGCCUAGCCGUAAACGAUGGAUACUAGGUGUGUCUGUAUCGACCCGGACAGUGCCGUAGCUAACGCGUUAAGUAUCCCGCCUGGGGAGUACGCACGCAAGUGUGAAACUCAAAGGAAUUGACGGGGGCCCGCACAAGCGGUGGAGUAUGUGGUUUAAUUCGAUGCAACGCGAAGAACCUUACCAGGACUUGACAUGUCGCGAAUCU